rfam:Chlorobium phaeobacteroides DSM 266, complete genome.
GGGGAUGACAGGCUUUUGACAGGGCAGGUGUGAAAUAAAGAUGCACUCCGAGUUUCAGCAUGGAUGGACUCGUUAAAGAAGUCUAUGCAACACUACAUGCAGACGAUUACUCGUAUGCAAUGGCUGCCUGAUUAGCACAAGUUAAUUAAUCGGCCAUCGUCCGACAGGUGAAUGCGCUUACUCUGAAACCUUCGGAUGGCAUAAUCCGCGCUUGAGCCUUUCGCUCGCGCAAGUAAGCCCCGUCAGUUUUUGCCCGAAAAGGCUGGAGGGUAAUCGAAAGGGAUAGUGAACCGAACUUUACCGGCGCAGUAACGGUUCAUGAAACAACAGCCACCGGCGAUGAGUGUGGGGUCUUUAUUGAGCAGUGUUCUGGACGCGGGUUCGAAUCCCGCCAUCUCCACUA